UUGAAUUGAAGAGUUUGAUCAUGGCUCAGAUUGAACGCUGGCGGCAGGCUUAACACAUGCAAGUCGAACGGUAGCAGGAGAAAGCUUGCUUUCUUGCUGACGAGUGGCGGACGGGUGAGUAAUGCUUGGGAAUCUGGCUUAUGGAGGGGGAUAACGACGGGAAACUGUCG
rnacentral:rRNA from 1 species